CAGAGACUUUCUCUUAGAGCUCUCUAGUGAGAUCUUAUCACAGGACAGCCAAAAGUGAAAGUAAAAUUACAUGUUUAUCUCUCAGGGUUCUCCAAGAGAGGCUACCAAGGGAGAAGUAAUUUGAUUGCACUGGGUACCACUUCUGUCACAAGUCCAAACACUCUUGCUUUCCAUAGGACAAAAUGCUUGCUGGAAAGUGGAAUGGUGCAAUUGCACACUGUUCAAUUUCCAUGAGUUUGUAUGUUUCCUGCAAUUUGUGGUGUUGAUGAAUUCUAACUUUAAAGCAUGGCGAUCUGCUGCGGAUCAUGGUGCCUACGGAC
rnacentral:lncRNA from 1 species